rnacentral:rRNA from 1 species
CGGCGAGUGAAGCGGCAAAAGCUCAAAUUUGAAAUCUGGUACCUUUGGUGCCCGAGUUGUAAUUUGGAGAGUACCACUUUGGGACUGUACUUUGCCUAUGUUCCUUGGAACAGGACGUCAUGGAGGGUGAGAAUCCCGUGUGGCGAGGGUGUCAGUUCUUUGUAAAGGGUGCUCGAAGAGUCGAGUUGUUUGGGAAUGCAGCUCUAAGUGGGUGGUAAAUUCCAUCUAAAGCUAAAUACAGGCGAGAGACCGAUAGCGAACAAGUACAGUGAUGGAAAGAUGAAAAGAACUUUGAAAAGAGAGUGAAAAAGUACGUGAAAUUGUUGAAAGGGAAGGGCAUUUGAUCAGACAUGGUGUUUUGCGCCCCUUGCCUCUCGUGGGCUUGGGACUCUCGCAGCUCACUGGGCCAGCAUCGGUUUUGGCGGCCGGAAAAAACCUAGGGAAUGUGGCUCUGCGCCUCGGUGUAGAGUGUUAUAGCCCUGGGGAAUACGGCCAGUCGGGACCGAGGACUGCGAUACUUGUUAUCUA